AUUGAACGCUGGCGGCAGGCCUAACACAUGCAAGUCGAACGAGUGGCGGACGGGUGAGUAAUGUCUGGGAAACUGCCCGAUGGAGGGGGAUAACUACUGGAAACGGUAGCUAAUACCGCAUACCAUCGGAUGUGCCCCGAUGGGAUUAGCUUGUGGGUGGGGGAACGGCUCACCUGGGCGACGAUCCCUAGCUGGUCUGAGAGGAUGACCAGCCACACGGGAACGGGAACACGGUCCAGACUCCUACGGUAGGGAGCAGUGGGGAAUAUUGCACAAUGGGGGCAAGCCUGAUGCAGCCAUGCCGCGUGUAUGAAGAAGGCCUGCGGGUUGUAAAGUACUUUCAGCGAGUAGGCGUUACCCGCAGAAGAAGCACCGGCUAACUCCGUGCCAGCAGCCGCGGUAAUAC
rnacentral:rRNA from 1 species